rnacentral:rRNA from 1 species
CGUAGGGGGCUAGCGUUGUCCGGAUUUAUUGGGCGUAAAGAGCGUGUAGGCGGCCAAGUAAGUCCGGUGUGAAAACUCGAGGCUUAACCUCGAGAUGUCAUCGGAAACUAUUUGGCUAGAGUCCGGAAGAGGAGAGUGGAAUUUCCUGGUGUAGCGGUGAAAUGCGCAGAUAUCAGGAAGAACACCUAUGGCGAAAGCAGCUCUCUGGGACGGUACUGACGCUGAGACGCGAAAGCGUGGGGAGCGAACAGGAUUAGAUACCCUGGUAGUCCACGCCGUAAACGAUGGGUGCUAGGUGUGGGCGGUGUCGACUCCGUCCGUGCCGAAGCUAACGCAUUAAGCACCCCGCCUGGGGAGUACGGCCGCAAGGCUA